GUUAAGCGACUAAGCGUACACGGUGGAUGCCCUGGCAGUCAGAGGCGAUGAAGGACGUGCUAAUCUGCGAUAAGCGUCGGUAAGGUGAUAUGAACCGUUAUAACCGGCGAUUUCCGAAUGGGGAAACCCAGUGUGAUUCGUCACACUAUCAUUAACUGAAUCCAUAGGUUAAUGAGGCGAACCGGGGGAACUGAAACAUCUAAGUACCCCGAGGAAAAGAAAUCAACCGAGAUUCCCCCAGUAGCGGCGAGCGAACGGGGAGCAGCCCAGAGCCUGAAUC
rnacentral:rRNA from 1 species